GGUUCAGGAGGUUCUGUUGGGAGCGAGUAGGGGCUUGGGGAGGAGAAGGGCUGAGCCUUCUUCCCAGCUCAAGGCUCAGUGGCUCAGCUCUGUCUCUGCAGCCACUUCUUCGUCCCAGAGCCACCAAGCUGGUGCCAGGAGGUUUCCUGUCCCAGCCCACCUCCCCCUGCCUUCCAGGCCAGGAUCUGCAGGCCACGCUUCCCAGCAUGCUCUCUCCUCCACCUGCUGCCUGUCCGCAGCGAUUUCUGAGACUGGCUUCCCCAGGGCCCCUCCCUCCACCCGAGCUUUCUCUUUCACUUGCUCCCAGCGCGCCUGCCACCUGCCCUGCUGGGUUUGCCUUCUGUUUCCAGUAAUUCUCUUCAAAGCCACGCUCCUUCCUGCUGAAAUGAAGUGUUUGCCGCCUUUCUGAGAUGCCCACCCGCCCCCUUGCUCCGUCCUUACCCACUUUGCAGCGCCCUACAGGUGCCAGCUCGGGGACGUCUCUUCCCCAGGAGGGACACUCUCCCACCUGCCACCCUGGCAUCUGCUCCGAAGGGCGUCUGUCUUCCUCUCACGGGGUCUCCUGCUGAACUACUUGCGGCUCUUAGUGGCAGACACCAGGACACUUCAUCCUUGCUACUUCAGCACGAGGGCCUGAUCCAGGAUGGCGGCUGUCCUGCUCUUUCGACACGCCUGCGUCUUGUCUGUUAUGAGGCAGACACUGUUGCUUUGUCCUCACUGGCUGACCGCCUGCGUUCCCUCUGACAGCCCACCGGGGCCUGUGCGGGCGCCGUCAUGUCCAGCCCGAGGCUCAGGCAUCGGGAUGCUCCCCGACUCAGAGCCUGAGACGCUUCUACGUGGGGGCCCGGGGUUCAGACGAGCAGAGAGGGGCACUUGGGCUGCAGGAUCCCCUGAGCAGUGUUCCUGGGAAGACACAGAGGGGCACAGAGGGGGCAGUGCCACCCCGAGUCUGCUGCCCUCCUUGCUCCUGUCUCUGCCUACUAACUCUCGCUCACGCAUUCACCCAUUCACCAUGUAGACACGACCAGGCCUCUGCCAGGCAUCGCUUCUCCUCCCUCACAUCUGGGCUCAGUCUUCUGCCUCUUUUCACAUCUAACUUUCUCACCUCUCCACUGGAUAAGAAACAGGGUCGGGUGCUCUUUUCGUGUGUCCCCCAAGUGGCCAGGAUGCCGGAGGGUGCUUUGUGUCUGACUACAAAAUAUCAGGUUGGGGUAUUGCCUUCUGGAUUUAUCUCUGCUCUACCAACAUCCUUGUUCCUCCCCACAGCAGACUCCUGCCUGCAAAGCUCCUCUGACCCAUAUUAGUCCCAGGAAAUACAGCCCAGGUCUCCUCGGCGGUGGCAAGGCUGGGGGAAUUCGGCAAUGAUACCGUUUCAACAGGAUUUCGGGGAUGUUCCUGAACUCAGACUUUCAAGCCCUUUCAUCUAUUCCUUCUUGCAUUGCUUCCUCUCAUUUUUCGGUCUGCGGGGACCAAACAGGCAGAGAUGGUCUUUGGACCCCUCCUCCAGUCUUCUCCGGGUGUAUGAGUACGAGCUUGGCCAUUUGCUAGCCUGGGUGACCUUGUGAACUCCCCUAACCUCUCUGAGUCUCGGGUAACUCUGUGUCUUGUUUCACGGCAUGAGUAAGGAAAUGUGUGUAAAGCGCUGAUCAAAAGGCUGAGAGCAUGACCUUGUCCAGUCGCACUUCCCCGGCUUCUGUCUAUCAAUAAACUUAGGUGCAGGCCUGGGUGGUGACAGCCACUACCUGUGGGGCAUCUACUCUGUGCCAGGCCUUGUGCUCUGUGUGUGGGACCUUA